GCCCCGGUAAACGGCGGCCGUAACUAUAACGGUCCUAAGGUAGCGAAAUUCCUUGUCGGGUAAGUUCCGACCUGCACGAAUGGCGUAAUGAUGGCCAGGCUGUCUCCACCCGAGACUCAGUGAAAUUGAACUCGCUGUGAAGAUGCAGUGUACCCGCGGCAAGACGGAAAGACCCCGUGAACCUUUACUAUAGCUUGACACUGAACAUUGAGCCUUGAUGUGUAGGAUAGGUGGGAGGCUUUGAAGUGUGGACGCCAGUCUGCAUGGAGCCGACCUUGAAAUACCACCCUUUAAUGUUUGAUGUUCUAACGUUGGCCCGUAAUCCGGGUUGCGGACAGUGUCUGGUGGGUAGUUUGACUGGGGCGGUCUCCUCCUAAAGAGUAACGGAGGAGCACGAAGGUUGGCUAAUCCUGGUCGGACAUCAGGAGGUUAGUGCAAUGGCAUAAGCCAGCUUGACUGCGAGCGUGACGGCGCGAGCAGGUGCGAAAGCAGGUCAUAGUGAUCCGGUGGUUCUGAAUGGAAGGGCCAUCGCUCAACGGAUAAAAGGUACUCCGGGGAUAACAGGCUGAUACCGCCCAAGAGUUCAUAUCGACGGCGGUGUUUGGCACCUCGAUGUCGGCUCAUCACAUCCUGGGGCUGAAGUAGGUCCCAAGGGUAUGGCUGUUCGCCAUUUAAAGUGGUACGCGAGCUGGGUUUAGAACGUCGUGAGACAGUUCGGUCCCUAUCUGCCGUGGGCGCUGGAGAACUGAGGGGGGCUGCUCCUAGUACGAGAGGACCGGAGUGGACGCAUCACUGGUGUUCGGGUUGUCAUGCCAAUGGCACUGCCCGGUAGCUAAAUGCGGAAGAGAUAAGUGCUGAAAGCAUCUAAGCACGAAACUUGCCCCGAGAUGAGUUCUCCCUGACUCCUUGAGGGUCCUGAAGGAACGUUGAAGACGACGACGU
rnacentral:rRNA from 1 species